UUGUAUAAAAUUUUAACGUUUGACGGAUUUUUUUACGAAAUUUGCAAAGCUUUACGGUGUAAAAUAAAAGUCUUACAAAAAUGUGGUUUACAGCAUUCAAAAAGCGUGAAUAUUUACCUUUAAUUUGCGUACUUGUUGAGUACUGUAUACCGAUUUUUAUUCACCGACUUAUUCAACAUUAAAGCAAGAAAGACCAUUUUUACUUCAGUGUCAAAUAACUCUAGUUUAAAGUGCGAGAUAAUAUUCAGUAUACAUACGACGCUUUAGACAUUUCGAGAAAUUUGGCUGACCACGGCCUUGGAAUUCGUUGCUCUUGUGUAUAGCACGUUGUGUUUACGCAAGGUCGCCGCGCUAUUAUUUGCGUUCCGAGAAUCGAGCGAGCAAGUAGCGUCACGAGCCGCUCCAUGUGUUAUCUCGCAAAAUAUCAACUGAUUGUGAAUCACGUGCUUGUGUUUCUGAAUGGUCCAUCGCGUUUCGAUUAAUUAUUAACUCCGCUUUAUUAAUAACGUCGUAUUGUGUAUUUCCAGGUUAAACCUGCCUCCGUUUUUGAAUUAUUAACAUAAGGCCGCAGAUUAAAAGAUCAUAACUUCAUAGCUUAUUUGUGCGCGCACAAUAAUGCUUUGAUUUUUCCGUCGUAAUAUAAUAAAGUAUUUUAUAAUUGUGACAUGAACGUCGGGAGUGCUGUACGAAAUACCGCGCAAUCGUCUAUUCUUUACCGUGAUGUGUAAUUAAUCGAUGUUUUCGCGAGUGAUUAUCGUGCCGCGGAAAAUCUGCCACAGAAGAACAGAAGAAAAGAAAGAGAGAGAAUGUUUAGGAUGGCAUCGGGCGUCGACGAAGCAACCCUAGAGAUUUACAGGAUCUGAGAGAAGGGAGAGGCCUGGGAGUGGCAUAGGGUCCUAGCGGAGCAACCUUGGGUAAUCAUCGUAACUUCGUGGUUGAUUAUAACUCCGCUCGUUGCGCAUUGGGUCGGUGAGUCAGCAAUCAAUUUUCUUACUUUAUUUCAAGGCUUUGCAUAUGUCUUGCGCAGGAUCAAAGCAUAAUAUUGUCAUAUCUAUAUUUUUGUGAAUGAGCGAGUAAGUGAGUAAGUGACUAAGUGAGUUAAUUUAAAGAAAAAGAAGAAAUCUGGAAGCCUAUCAUGGGGUGGGUAAUAUUUGCAACAUGCAUAGGAUGUAACAUAAAACGUAUCCAGACUAGCCAACGGAUAUCGUAUGUUACAGAUAUUGGUCGGGAUGAGAAUUGACGAGAGAUUUAAAUUAUAGGAUUAAAGGAAAAUUACACUAUUAGCCCCUUACUACACAAAAUACGCCAUCUCCGCGAUGAUAAUCGCUCAUGAAAUUAGCGCAGCGAGAGAACCAAUCGGUAUCGUAAAAAAGCGACUACAAUAACUUCGAUAUAUUCUUUACAUGCUUUUUUUUAGAAAGGAUUAGCACACAGCGCGCGCGUUAGCCGAAGUAAAGGCCGGGAUUCAUAGUCGAUUCUUAUAUUUAAAACCGUCUUAAGUAUUAUCUUAAGUAUCAUAUAAUAUGUAUAUAUUUAUAUACAUAUAAAUACAUACAGUAUAUAAUAUGUAUAUAUUUAGCAUCAUUUUAAACCUACUAAUAUUAUAUCGAGUGAUUUAUCUCAUUAUUCUGUGCAUAAGAGUAUUGAGGUAAGUUGAUAUAUGCACAUUGACACAAAAAAAUGAAUAUUUUAUGUCACUUAUGAGACACUUUAUACUUUAUGUUGAAGUAUGCUUGAAUAAAAUAUAAAAUAUCUUGUAAA